UUGGGCCUUAAAGGGAGCAGAAG
rnacentral:miRNA from 1 species